GAUGGCAGUAUUGUCACCUUGGAGGCUGAUCUCAUUUAGAAAUGAGUUUAGACAUCAGAAUCUAAGAUCUCAGAAGCUAAGCAAGGCAGGAUGAAGUCAGUACUGGGAUGGGACAUUUCCCAGGAAAAAAACAGGUUGCCAUUG
rnacentral:rRNA from 1 species